rnacentral:tRNA from 2 species
UCGGCCUUCGCCUAACGGUAGGGCAGCGCACUUUGAAUGCGCCGGUACUGGUUCGAUCCCAGUAGGCCGAUCCA